GUGCACCAGUCGCGAAAACUCCGCAAUGCGCGUAAGCGUGACGGGGUCAUCCCGAGUGCCGUCCGCUGAGGAUGGCUUUUCUCCGGUCUAACCAGCCGGAGGAAUAAGGGGAGGGCAAGUCUGGUGUCAGCCGCCGCGGUAAUACCAGCUCCCCGAGUGGUUGGGACGAUUAUUGGGCUUAAAGCGUCCGUAGCCGGCUCAGCAAGUCUCCCGUUAAAUCCAACGAUUCAAUCGUUGGACUGCGGGAGAUACUGUUGAGCUAGGAGGCGGGAGAGGCCGACGGUAUUCCCGGAGUAGGGGUGAAAUCUUAUAAUUCCGGGAGGACCACCAGUGGCGAAGGCUGUCGGCUAGAACGCGCUCGACGGUGAGGGACGAAAGCUGGGGGAGCGAACCGGAUUAGAUACCCGGGUAGUCC
rnacentral:rRNA from 1 species